rnacentral:lncRNA from 1 species
CAAAUUGUAAAGUUUCUUGCUUUAUGGUUUACUAUUCAGUUUCACUGCAAAUUCUGUGUCUUUAUAGUAAAUGGUAUUCAACUUUUAUGUUGUGUUAUUGAAUUUGUAUGUUAUUUUGGGAUGUGGGUUUUACUGAUUCUUGAUUGGCGGUGAGGCGGUGGGUACUGGGAGAAGAGGAGGUAAAUGGGGGAAAAAGAAACCUUCUUUUGGGUAUUAAAAUUGUAAAGUUUCUUGUUUUGUGGUUUACUAUUCAGUUUCACUGCAAAUUCUGUGUCUUUAUAAUAAUGGUAUUCAACUUUUAUGGUUUUUUUUGUGUUGUGUUAUGUUAUUUUGGGAUGUGGGUUUCACUGAUUCUUGAUUGGCGGUGUGGCGGUGGGUACUGCGAGAAGAGGAGGAGGAGGGAAAUGGGAAAAAGAAACCUUCUUUUGGGUAUUAAAAUUGUAAAGUUUCUUGUUUUGUGGUUUACUAUUCAGUUUCACUGCAAAUUCUGUGUCUUUAUAAUAAUGGUAUUCAACUUUUAUGGUUUUUUUUGUGUUGUGUUAUGUUAUUUUGGGAUGUGGGUUUCACUGAUUCUUGAUUG